rnacentral:tRNA from 1 species
GCCCAAGUGGUGGAAUAGGUAGACACAAGGGACUUAAAAUCCCUUGGACAUUUUUGUCCGUGCCGGUUCAAGUCCGGCCUUGGGCA